GGAAUAAUUUCUGGAAUCAUAUUUACAUUCUUGCUGCUCUUGUUCUGUUGCUACAGAAAAUCCAGAGGUUCUACUGAUGACCAGAGGGUCAGUCAGGUAGAAGAUCAACAGCAAGUAUACUCCUCUCUUCUUCAUGGUGACCGUUGUGUCUAUGAGUCUAUCAGAUGGUCUAAAAACACAGAAAAUGGUCUGGGUCAGGGUAGCAGCAGCCAAAGCAGAGAAGCCCACACCUCCGUCUCCCCAGCCACCUCCUCCAGCUUAUCUGCGGGAACGCUGAGGUGCUCGCAGGCCAGCCGAGAGACUUAAUCUCUCAAGUGUAUUCUGGGUCUGCCCUGGGUUUCGUCUUGGUCGACCCCAAAGGAACCAAAUCAAGUGACUAGUCUACCCUACCCGGGAUAGGCUUACCAAACAUGAUAA